UCCGGGCUCGUCUAACGGCAGGACGUCUGCCUUUGGAGCAGAAAAUUCACGUUCGAAUCGUGGGCCCGGAG
rnacentral:tRNA from 1 species